AAAAGUGUCGCUAGGCAACCGCGUCGGCGUCGGCUUUUAACCUCUGGGGAGAAAAGGGAGGAGCUAAACCAAAGGGAAGGCGGGAGAAAGGAAGUGGUAGCUGCAGCCUCUCGGCAACUCCAGCCCCCUGGUAGAGAUCGCCAAGGGUCACGGCCUGGCAUCUGCCCUCUGACCGGACUUCACCAUCCUUGCCAGACCCUGGAGAGCUUACCCAUGGCAACAGUGCAACACACUGAGGGCUGUGUGGCAGCACAGGGGCUCUGAGCUCCUGACCUGAGUCACAUGGACCUGAGGCUAACAGCCAGCCCUGCACCUACAAUCAGGGCGAGACCCCUGGCAGUUGCCCACACCCCCGUGAGAUCCAGUACCUCCCUGUAAAAUGAGGGAAAUAAACCCCUGCCUCAUGGGGUUUCAGUGAAGGGUAAGUGAAAUAAGGUAUGUAGUAUCUGACCCGCUUAGAUGCCCCAGACAUGACAGCUCUUAGGGUUGUUAGUAUAAUUAUUUGGGGGGAGGGAUGAAGUCAUAGGGGAAACAUAACACCCCACGCUUUCUGCUGACUGUCAAGGCACCAUGAUGGUGGGCAUUUUACACUUGCCACAGGGCCGCCCGGCCACGUUUCUGAGGGUGCACACUUCCCCAGCUGGCCUGGCUCUGCUGCCUGACUGCUGCUCUGCCUGUCCCCAGGUGUCAUCCUGCCCUAGGAGGGUCCUCAAACCUGCAUUUAGGGGCAUUUGAGUGUGUAGCUGUCCUGUCAGCCAAGACAAGGGGAGUGAGGCCAAGGCAUGAGCUUUCUGAACAGGGUGGUUUUCAAUACACUCCCUAAUCAAAAAGCAGCAGGUGUGAGCUACUCCCAAGCAUCCACACCCUCCUACUGCUCCUGCCUUCUCUCUCUCUCUCUCUCUCUCUCUCUCUUUCUUUUUCUAUCUCUUCUUUCUCUUCCCCCUUCAGCUACCCAUUUAGGGCAGAGAGGCAGUCGUGGGGCAGCUGAGGAGAGGUAGGCCUUGGUCCAUGGCCCUCCAGACCUAAUUUCUUUCCUAACUGGCCUCACUCAGAUCUGAGACACGAUGCAGAGACCUCUGUCUCUCUUCUCGUCUAUUUCAGUAAACAUCUGGAAACCCCCUGUGGGAGAUCUGCCUCAUGACCUCAAGUGAAUUUUAGAUUCCUGCAUAUCCUUCCAAAGUUCUUCAUUUGAUGAAUAUUAUGAAAAAUGACACGUAUGUCUUUCUCCCAGAUACAUAGCUUGAACCCAAAGUACAGUGAAAUCAGAACUAACCACACAGAGUAAUUUGGGGAAGGGAGUUGUUUGUGACACAAAGACUUCAUCACUUUGUAAAAGUAUUUGCUACUGAUUACAUUAAAUACCAGUCUUCCUGAGUGUCCGUAAAACAUACUUUUUUUUUUUUUUUUUUUGAGACAGACUUUCACUCUCUCACCAAGAGAGAGUGCAGUGGCACGAUCUCGGUUCACUGCAACCCCCGCCUUCUGGGUUCAAGGAUUCUCCUGCCUCAGCCUCCCGAGUAGUUGGGAUUACAGCUGCCCGCCACCAUGCCUGGCUAAUUUUUUUUAAAUUUUUAGUAGAGGCAUGGUUCACAUUGACCAGGUUGAUCUCGAACUCCUGACCGCAGGUGAUCCAUCCCCCUCAGCCUCCCCAAGUGCUGGGAUUACAAGUGUGAGCCACUGAGCCUGGUCAUUAAACAUGUUUUAAAUUGGAAGAUGUUCUUUGCACUUUUGUCUUUCUGGAGGAAUGUCAUGGUACACAGAGAGAAGACCUAACUUGGGGAGGCCUUGGAGCCUGUCAAGCAUACAAUGAUUCAAGCCUGUGCUGGGAUAUGGCACUGACUUCUUCACUCCCCUCCACCCUGGGGAGUGGCAGAGGGUGGGAGAAUCUGGUGAGCUGAGGCCACAUGUACACUUGGCAUGGCUGGUAUGGCCCACACAGCUUUUUUAUCAUUAUAAAAGUACCACACUCAUCUGUGCCAGGCCCAGUGCUACUCACACUUCUCCUUCACUCUUCACCACAUUCCCAGGACUGAAGCAUUGGUUUAUUCCCAUUUUCUGAAAAGGGAAACUGAGGCUCAUAGUGGUUAAGCCUCAAGCCUCAGGCCACCAUAAAUACUUUUCAUCUGAAAAAAAGAACACCCAAAUAUGCUCACCCACCCUACAGAUUCUUAGAGGUCUGGCUCACUUAUCUCUGAGAAAUCCCCCUCUGGACCAUCCGGAAGCCAGGAGAUGGUAACAGUGCCUCCUCUGCAGGGGCUCUGAUUGACCUUGGGCCUGCAAGGGGUAGCAGUCAGAGGUCACCUGGCCUAGCUCACUGGGUGUGCUCCUCACACUGGAUGGCCUCAUGCUGUGGGUGGGCCUGUAUACAGAGAGGAAAAGGUGCAGGUGGGGAUCAAGGUCAUUUUCACAAACAGAAAAGCUGCAGCAUAUCCAUAACUCAGCUUGUGGGCUAGACCCUCACCACAGAAAAAAGGAAGCCAGACAAAAACUGAACCACUGGACCACAGCAAGCCCACCCCAGCAGGGAGCCGAUGCAGGACUCCCUGUGAGAGAUUGGAACUCUCCAUACUAUCUUUACAGCUUUUCUAUACAUCUAAAACUCUUCAAAUAUAAAGGAUUUAUUAACAACAA